rnacentral:rRNA from 1 species
UACAGAGGUCCCGAGCGUUGUUCGGAUUCACUGGGCGUAAAGGGUGCGUAGGUGGUGAGGUAAGUCGGAUGUGAAAUCUCCGGGCUCAACCCGGAAAUGGCAUUGGAAACUACCUUGCUGGAUGAUUUGAGGGGGGAUUGGAAUACUUGGUGUAGCAGUGAAAUGCGUAGAUAUCAAGUGGAACACCAGUGGCGAAGGCGAAUCCCUGGAAAAUACCUGACACUGAGGCACGAAAGCUAGGGGAGCAAACAGG